rnacentral:rRNA from 1 species
GCCGUACCGGGGAAAACCCGGGGGAAGUUAAAUUAACCAAAAUAGAAAUACACAUAUGCACAUGCAUAAAUGAUCAAAGCUCCGGCGGUCUAAGAUGGACUCGCGUCCCAUUAGCUAGUUGGUGAGGUAACGGCCCACCAAGGCGACGAUGGGUAGCCGGCCUGAGAGGGUGAACGGCCACAUUGGAACUGAGAAACGGUCCAAACUCCUACGGGAGGCAGCAGCU